GUACUGGAUUCAGCAGUACAGAUACUAAAAUUGGAGUGAUACAGAGACUAGCAUGAUCUUUAUGCAGGGAUGACUUGCAAAUUCAUAAAAUAUUCUGUAUUUUA